rnacentral:rRNA from 1 species
UAGGGAAUCUUCCGCAAUGAGCGAAAGCCUGACGGAGCAACGCCGCGUGAGUGAUGAAGGUCUUCGGAUCGUAAAACUCUGUUAUUAGGGAAGAACAAAUGUGUAAGUAACUAUGCACGUCUUGACGGUACCUAAUCAGAAAGCCACGGCUAACUACGUGCCAGCAGCCGCGGUAAUACGUAGGUGGCAAGCGUUAUCCGGAAUUAUUGGGCGUAAAGCGCGCGUAGGCGGUUUUUUAAGUCUGAUGUGAAAGCCCACGGCUCAACCGUGGAGGGUCAUUGGAAACUGGAAAACUUGAGUGCAGAAGAGGAAAGUGGAAUUCCAUGUGUAGCGGUGAAAUGCGCAGAGAUAUGGAGGAACACCAGUGGCGAAGGCGACUUUCUGGUCUGUAACUGACGCUGAUGUGCGAAAGCGUGGGGAUCAAACAGG